AUAAUAAUUCUUUCAUAAUUACCACGAUUGUGAAGGUGGUUUUCCUAGGGUGAAGCUUAUCCGUUGUACUCCCAUGUGCUGACCCUUGCGAUUUCCCCAAAUAUGGGAAACACGAUGGCAUAAUUGGUAGUGGAGGACUGCAUUCACACUCUCCUCUG